rnacentral:rRNA from 1 species
UGAGGAAUAUUGGUCAAUGGCCGGGAGGCUGAACCAGCCAAGUCGCGUGAGGGAAGACGGUCCUAUGGAUUGUAAACCUCUUUUGUCGGGGAGCAAAAGGCGUCACGUGUGACGCUCCGAGAGUACCCGAAGAAAAAGCAUCGGCUAACUCCGUGCC